rnacentral:rRNA from 1 species
UGUUGCCUACGGGGGGCAGCAGUGGGGAAUAUUGCACAAUGGGGGAAACCCUGAUGCAGCGACGCCGCGUGAAGGAUGAAGUAUUUCGGUAUGUAAACUUCUAUCAGCAGGGAAGAAAAUGACGGUACCUGACUAAGAAGCCCCGGCUAACUACGUGCCAGCAGCCGCGGUAAUACGUAGGGGGCAAGCGUUAUCCGGAUUUACUGGGUGUAAAGGGAGCGUAGACGGUAUGGCAAGUCUGAUGUGAAAACCCGGGGCUCAACCCCGGGACUGCAUGGGAAACUGUUGGACUAGAGUGUCGGAGG